rnacentral:rRNA from 1 species
UACGAAGGGGGCUAGCGUUGUUCGGAAUUACUGGGCGUAAAGAGCGCGCAGGCGGUCGAUCAAGUCGAGUGUGAAAGCCCCCGGCUCAACUGGGGAGGGUCAUUCGAUACUGAUCGACUCGAAGGCAGGAGAGGGUAGUGGAAUUCCCGGUGUAGUGGUGAAAUGCGUAGAUAUCGGGAGGAACACCAGUGGCGAAGGCGACUACCUGGCCUGUUCUUGACGCUGAGGCGCGAAAGCUAGGGGAGCAAACGGG